rnacentral:lncRNA from 1 species
CAUAUUUAUUAUUUUUAAAAGAAAGGGAAAAAGGUUUCCAGCACAAGGACGACGCGUGCUGUCACACGUGUGCUUUCACCUUUAAAGUAUAUUUAUUAUUUUUAAAAGGUUGAAGUUUGGGGUUGUUGGGGGAAUUGAAAGGCAAAAGAGAAAGCAUUGAGUUAAUGUGUUGAAUGAUGAAAGCAUGAGAAAAAUAGAAAAUAAAAGAAAAAAAAGCAUGAAAGAUAGAGCUGAAUGCAAAAGAAAAAGGGAAAAGUUGGGAAUGAGUAGAUUGGUUUAAAAAGAAUUUGUGCUUGAACUAUGAAUAUUGAAUAACUCUCUUAUCUCAAGGAUUUUGUGAUCUGAAAAACCAAUGUUUCUUGUUAGCCCAGCCACGUCAUAAGCCUUGAAAAAGUCCUUGUGAUGACAUUUGUGUGUGAGAAUGUUGGUUGUAUUAGAUGAUAGUCAAUUUUGUUUCAUGUGACAAGUGGAUAGUAGAGGGAAGAGUAACCUCCUGAAACACUUGAGUGAUUGAGUGAAACACUUUGCUUGGAAAGGAUUGAUGAAUUUCAUGAUUACAUCUGUGCUUAGUGGAUUGGUCAUUCAUAAAAAUAGCAUAUGU